AUGAGAAUCUUAAUGGAACAUCAUCACUCGAUCAAAGUCAAUUAAAUCAAACACUCAACGUCGAUAGACAAUCUUAUUAGGGUUUUUUUCCAAUUUCAACUGAACAGAUUAUCGUCACAAAUUUGUUUGAUUACAAGAAACCCCAUUUCCCGACUGGAAUUGGGAACUCAAAGUUUGGUUUCGUCCCCAACUUCAUUCUCCAUCAAACCUAAAUUCAAUGGAUUAAACAAUUCUUCCCAAAUCAAAGUUCUUCAGUGGUUGAAUCGUGUAUGUAUAUCAUGUAAAGAGAUGGGUUUGGAAAAAAAAUUGUGUCAAUGAAAAUUUUCGCGUUUUUACAACGAAGCGGCAGGCCCAUCCGUGCUUCUGGACUAGAAUACAUGCUGCUAGAGUCGUUUCCAGAGUUGCAGCUUAAAAUCUUUCUUGCUUGUUUCCACGAAUUGGUGUAGCUGUAAUGCACUAUUACAUUAUGGGGUAUCCUUACAGUUGACAGUCUCAAAGUUGGUAUUUUCUAAGUUGGCCUUUUAUUGCAAUGGUGCAUACGUUGUUUAUCGUUACCGGUUCAUUUCAUGUUUAUCUGAGUUGGGUUCAUUUUAUUGGAUAUCAUGUUUCACCUUUAUGGAAAUUA